CAGUCGCCGCGGUAAUACAGAGGGUGCGAGCGUUAAUCGGAUUUACUGGGCGUAAAGCGUACGUAGGCGGCUUUUUAAGUCGGAUGUGAAAUCCCUGAGCUUAACUUAGGAAUUGCAUUCGAUACUUGGAAGCUAGAGUAUGGGAGAGGAUGGUAGAAUUCCAGGUGUAGCGGUGAAAUGCGUAGAGAUCUGGAGGAAUACCGAUGGCGAAGGCAGCCAUCUGGCCUAAUACUGACGCUGAGGUACGAAAGCAUGGGGAGCAAACAGGAUUAGAUACCCCCGUAGUCCCUGUCUCUUAUAC
rnacentral:rRNA from 1 species